CAGGAUGAACGCUGGCGGCGUGCCUAACACAUGCAAGUCGAACGAAGCAUGUCCCUUCGGGGAGAUGACUGAGUGGCGGACGGGUGAGUAACGCGUGGGUAACCUGCCCUUUACAGGGGGACAACAGUCAGAAAUGACUGCUAAUACCGCAUGAGCGCACGAGGGGGCAUCCUCUCGUGUGAAAAACUGAGGUGGUAAAGGAUGGGCCCCGCGUCUGAUUAGCUGGUUGGCGGGGUAACGGCCCACCAAGGCGACGAUCAGUAGCCGGUCUGAGAGGAUGAACGGCCACAUUGGAACUGAGACACGGUCCAAACUCCUACGGGAGGCAGCAGUGAGGGAUAUUGCACAAUGGGGGGAACCCUGAUGCAGCAAACCGCCGCGUGGGUGAAGAAGUAUUUCGAUAUGUAAAGCCCUAUCAGCAGGGAAGGUGAUGACGGUACCUGACGAAGAAGCUCCGGCUAAAUACGUGCCAGCAGCAGC
rnacentral:rRNA from 1 species